GCAGCACGGGGGCAACCCUGGUGGCGAGUGGCGAACGGGUGAGUAACAUAUCGGAACGUGCCCUGGAGUGGGGGAUAACUAGUCGAAAGAUUAGCUAAUACCGCAUACGAUCUACGGAUGAAAGUGGGGGAUCGCAAGACCUCAUGCUCGUGGAGCGGCCGAUAUCUGAUUAGCUAGUUGGUGGGGUAAAGGCCUACCAAGGCAUCGAUCAGUAGCUGGUCUGAGAGGACGACCAGCCACACUGGGACUGAGACACGGCCCAGGCUCCUACGGGAGGCAGCAGUGGGGAAUUUUGGACAAUGGGCGCAAGCCUGAUCCAGCAAUGCCGCGUGAGUGAAGAAGGCCUUCGGGUUGUAAAGCUCUUUUGUCAGGGAAGAAACGGUUCGGGUUAAUACCUUGGGCUAAUGACGGUACCUGAAGAAUAAGCACCGGCUAACUACGUGCCAGCAGCCGCGGUAAUACGUAGGGUGCAAGCGUUAAUCGGAAUUACUGGGCGUAAAGCGUGCGCAGGCGGUUGUGCAAGACAGAUGUGAAAUCCCCGGGCUCAACCUGGGAAUUGCAUUUGUGACUGUACGGCUAGAGUGUGUCAGAGGGGGGUAGAAUUCCACGUGUAGCAGUGAAAUGCGUAGAGAUGUGGAGGAAUACCGAUGGCGAAGGCAGCCCCCUGGGAUAACACUGACGCUCAUGCACGAAAGCGUGGGGAGCAAACAGGAUUAGAUACCCUGNNAGUCCACGCCCUAAACGAUGUCUACUAGUUGUCGGGUCUUUAUUGACUUGGNAACGCAGCUAACGCGUGAAGUAGACCGCCUGGGGAGUANGGUCGCAAGAUUAAAACUCAAAGGAAUUGACGGGGACCCGCACAAGCGGUGGA
rnacentral:rRNA from 1 species